GGUCCCAUGGUGUAAUGGUUAGCACUCUUGACUCUGAAUCCAGCGAUCCGAGUUCAAAUCUUGGUGGGACCU